UUUACUUGAAAAUCAUCCACAGCUUUGCCCAUGGCCGUAGGUAAGAUUCAGCACCUAAGUCAGUGGGGCCUCAGCUCACUGCCCACUCUCCAGUGUGAAGAGGUGAAAUUCAGGCUUCUAGACAC